UAGAACAGCCACAGGAUGUCUAGGAGCCAGCAGAGGGGCCAGAUAUGCUGCAGUUUAUGCUGUAAAAGGAAGCCUGCCGCCGUGAGUGGUCCAGUGGGAGCUCUUGCUUUGUGUCCUCAGCCUUUCACCUUUCCAUCUGAUGACUUGCUCUGAAUCUUCACUUCCUGGGCAGAUGAGGAAACAUGAUGUUCAGAAAGGUAUAUGACUUGAUCAAGAACCCACAACCAGGCAAUGAGAGGAAUAUGAGGCAAAAUCCAAUCUACUUGAUUCCACAGAGCUCUGAGUAUAGAUGAGGCAAACUUCACAUGGAAAAGAAGCCAUAUUUUGAAAAAACUACACGGAAUCAAAGAGAACUAACUCAAAGAAGCAAAAUUUUGGAGAUAAAACAAGACCCUAUGUUCACCAGAAGGAUCCUCAUGUCUGCAGACUACAUUAAGAGGGAGGAUAUGCCUCUGUGAAUCCAACUGAUAGGUAUCUCCUGUGUGCCAGGGAAUGGCAGGGCCAUGGCUCUCUCAAAGCCAUGCUCAUAAAAAGCCUCCUCUGCAUCGACUUCCAGUCCCAUUUGAUUCUCAAGCAAGGAGUUCCAUCCGAGAAGGAAGCUGUCACCUGUCACUCUUUUAUGAAUUCUUAAGGACAGUGGAAGAGUUGAAAGGUUGGCAAUCACAAUGACAAUAGGCUAUUACAAGCAGGUGAAGAGCCUUCUUCUUUUGCUCCUUACCCCCAACUGCUGUUCAAAUAAUCAAAAAAGGGUCCUCAUUGAAACUGAUUUAAUUCUCAAGAGGAAUGAAAGACAUUUAAAGGGCAAGCCAACUUCAU
rnacentral:lncRNA from 10 species